ensembl:lncRNA
CUGGAGCUAGUUUACUAGUGUGGCAGGUUGAGUGUUGCUCCUCCUCCACUCAGGUGAUUUCUGGUGGGCAGAUUGCAGAGUGGUUUCACCUGUAUAAGUGCUGCGCCUUCUCUGGCGCUCACACUGCUGCCUGGCACUCGUGGCGAGGACUCGGUGUGGCGUCUGUUAGUUGUUGGUUUGUUGUCGGUUGGUGUGGCGUGCUUCAGUCACUUGAAGCGUUGUGGCCGUGUUGUUCGGGGGCGGCAUUGUGAAGAGUGAGGGGAGUGUGGCAUCCGCUCUGUACUGUUGCCGCAGCCGGUGAUCAGUUUCGGGGGCGUAAAGCUCUCUUCGUUCGGAAGGGGAGGCCAGAGAAGAGAUAAAGUAUCGCCCCCGUGUGGAGAGGGAGGAUCCUGACGAGGUUUUGACCAUCUUGACUGAGCUUUAUGGCUGUGUACAUUCAUAUGUGACCCUGCAGCAAUCUUUCUUCUCCAGGAAGCAGCAGGACGGGGAGACAUUGUUAGAGUUUUCCUUGGCUCUGAUGGGCCUGAUGGAGUGUGUCAAGCAGUCAGCACCUGAUGCUCUGCCUAAUGCAGAAAUCCUUCUUCGCGACCAGUUCGUGGAGCAUGUGCUUGAUGGUGCC